GAUGAACGCUGACAGAAUGCUUAACACAUGCAAGUCAUUGGCGAAGCUGCGCUUGCGCAGUCUAGCCAAGGCGGACGGGUGAGUAACGCGUAAGGAACUUGCCCUGCAGACAGGGAUAACAGACGGAAACGACUGAUAACACCUGGUAUUGUCAGGCUGGCGCAUGCCGGCCUGAUGAAAGGAGACGCUGCAGGAGAGCCUUGCGUCCUAUUAGCUAGUUGGUGGGGUAACGGCCCACCAAGGCGAUGAUAGGUAGCCGGCCUGAGAGGGUGAACGGCCACAAGGGGACUGAGAUACGGCCCUUACUCGUACGGGAGGCAGCAGUGGGGAAUAUUGGACAAUGGGGGCAACCCUGAUCCAGCAAUUCUGUGUGCACGAAGAAGGUUUUCGGAUUGUAAAGUGCUUUCAGCAGGGAAGAAGAAAGUGACGGUACCUGCAGAAGAAGCGACGGCUAAAUACGUG
rnacentral:rRNA from 1 species